CAAUAGCGUAUAUUAAAGUUGUUGCAGUUAAAAAGCUCGUAGUUGGAUUUCUGGGAGGGUGCCAAUGUCCGCCGACGUGCGUGCGCAGCGGCGCCCUUCCAUCCUUCUGUUAACGCCUCUUGGCAUUCAUUUGCUGGUGGCGGGCUCAGAUAUUUUACCUUGAGAAAAUUAGGGUGUUUCAGGCAGGCUAGGCCGGAAUACAUUAGCAUGGAAUAAUGGAAUAGGACUACGGUCUCUUUGUUGGUUUGAGGGACUGCAGUAAUGAUUAAUAGGGAUAGUUGGGGGCAUUAGUAUUUAAUUGUCAGAGGUGGAAUUCUCGGAUUUGUUAAAGACUAACUUAUGCGAAAGCAUUUGCCAAGGAUGUUUUCAUUAA
rnacentral:rRNA from 1 species